AGCGCAGGCGGACUUGUGUGUCGGACGUGAAAUACCGGGGCUUAACCCCGGUCGCUGCGUCCGAAACUACGAGUCUAGAGACUUGGAGGGGUAAGCGGAAUUCUUGGUGGAGCAGUGAAAUGCGUAGAUAUCAAGAGGAACACCAACGGCGAAGGCAGCUUACUGGACAAGAUCUGACGCUCAGGCUCGAAAGCGUGGGGAGCAAAAG
rnacentral:rRNA from 1 species